rnacentral:rRNA from 1 species
UAAGUUAAAAGGAGCAAAUGCUUCACUAUGAGAUGGACCUGCGUUGUAUUAGCUAGUUGGUGAGGUAACGGCUCACCAAGGCGACGAUACAUAGCCGACCUGAGAGGGUGAUCGGCCACACUGGGACUGAGACACGGCCCAGACUCCUACGGGAGGCAGCAGUAGGGAAUCUUCGGCAAUGGACGGAAGUCUGACCGAGCAACGCCGCGUGAGUGAAGAAGGUUUUCGGAUCGUAAAGCUCUGUUGUUAGAGAAGAACGGUAAUGGGAGUGGAAAA